CAUACACUCUCUCACUUACAUAACCAAACACAGAGAAAUAAUGGAGGGCCUGGUCCCUUUUACUCUCUCUCCCUCUCGAUAUUACAUACACAAACAACCACACUUAACUUGGGCAUCUCCCCCAAAUUCAAAACUCUAAACAGAUACCCAACCCCAGCCGAUUACCCCUGUCUUCUCUCUCCCUCACCUUCAAUAAGCAGACACCAAACAAGCACCCCCACUCUCUCUUUUUCAAGAUUAGCAAACACAGGAGCCAUCAAGCUUCUCCGGCGUCCCGAUUUCCGGCGAUAUACGCCCCCCCCCAUUUCGAGCAACAAAACGAGCCACCACCACCACUGUUCGGUGGUGGUGAACGGCGGCAGCGGAACCAGAAGAGAGAGAAACGAGGAGAGAGAGAGACUCGGGAGGAGAGAGAAAGCGCCGGAGAAGGAGCAGCACCGCCGUGAGCGGCGGUGGCAGUGGAGUGCGGCGGUGGUUGCUUCUCGGACCGGUGGUCCUUGACUCGGACCGGCGGUCCUUGUCUCGGUCCGACGAAUAUUCCGAGGAGAUGAUGAUGAUGUUGAAUAUGGUGGUGGUCGACGACGGCAUGACCACCGGAGUCACCAGAACCGGCGACGGCGACAGAGGUGAUGGUUAUUCGGUUCAGGUUCGGUUUCAUUUCGAGUUCGGGUUCGAGUUAUGAAGUCAACAAGACAACAUGGAUUUGGUUCUGGUUCGGUCAGAUGGCUCGGUUCGGUUGGCUCGGUCAACUCACCGAGUCAACCGAGUCAACUCAGUCAACAGAUGGGUUCGGGUUCGAUUCAGUGCACUUCGCCUCGACUCAGUCCAACUCGGUUUCGACUCGGUGUAUUUUGGUCAACUCGGUCAACCUGGUCAACUCAGCGAGUCGACGUGGUCAACUCAGUUGACCCGGUCGACUCAGUCAACAUUUUUGGCGUUACAACAUUAGAAAUUUGGUAAAGCGGCACGAUUAUCUCGUUAUUUUUUUUUAUAUAUGUUACGUGACACACGAGCUUGAACCGACUCGAUAGAAAUUUGUUUUACAUUUCAAGCAUACGAAGAAAAAUUAACAUA